rnacentral:rRNA from 1 species
CUUAACACAUGCAAGUCGAACGAUGAAGCCCAGCUUGCUGGGUGGAUUAGUGGCGAACGGGUGAGUAACACGUGAGUAACCUGCCCUUGACUCUGGGAUAAGCGUUGGAAACGACGUCUAAUACCGGAUACGAGCUUCCACCGCAUGGUGAGUUGCUGGAAAGAAUUUUGGUCAAGGAUGGACUCGCGGCCUAUCAGCUUGUUGGUGAGGUAAUGGCUCACCAAGGCGACGACGGGUAGCCGGCCUGAGAGGGUGACCGGCCACACUGGGACUGAGACACGGCCCAGACUCUACGGGAGGCAGCAGUGGGGAAUAUUGCACAAUGGGCGAAAGCCUGAUGCAGCAACGCCGCGUGAGGGACGACGGCUUCGGGUUGUAAACCUCUUUUAGCAGGGAAGAAGCGAAAGUGACGGUACCUGCAGAAAAAGCACCGGCUAACUACGUGCCAGCAGCCGCGGUAAUACGUAGGGUGCAAGCGUUGUCCGGAAUUAUUGGGCGUAAAGAGCUCGUAGGCGGUUUGUCGCGUCUGCUGUGAAAUCCCGAGGCUCAACCUCGGGUCUGCAGUGGGUACGGGCAGACUAGAGUGCGGUAGGGGAGAUUGGAAUUCCUGGUGUAGCGGUGGAAUGCGCAGAUAUCAGGAGGAACACCGAUGGCGAAGGCAGAUCUCUGGGCCGCUACUGACGCUGAGGAGCGAAAGGGUGGGGAGCAAACAGGCUUAGAUACCCUGGUAGUCCACCCCGUAAACGUUGGGCGCUAGAUGUGGG